AUAGGCAGUACUUAUAAGGAAAUAAUCCAUUCUUUCUGCUUCUAACAUAAUUUAUAUUAAUUUGGGGGCUAAGAAAAACCUUCCACAUUCUCUUCUAUGUUUUUAGAGGAAAUCACAUCUCCUUACAAGUGAGGAUAAGAGAAGAAAAUGAACACUCCAGCUCUUUAUGGCCCAGCCAUUUCCCAUUCAAUGUCUCUCAUCAAACAAGGAGGGCUAAUCAGGAGAAAGUAGGGUGUGUGUAACUACAGUUGUGUGGGAAAGUGCUAAAGCCAUGGACUGGAAUAAUCAGGACAAUCAGGGUCCUAUUUACAGCAAGUUGUGACCUAUUUCUUAACCAGUAAUUCGCAGCCAGACUUCUCCAAUCUGCCUUCAUGAGAGAUGCCUGGGAAUUUACCAUGGUAGAAAGAAAAUGACAAUUGCAUAUUCUCAAACGGAACAGGUCACCCCAAACCAGCUGGAAGACUUCCAUCCCCUGCCUGCCUCACUGGAAAGAGAUGAGUGAGGCACAGCAGCUGGGCUGCUCAUUAUAUUCAACCUGGAUGUGAUUGGAUGUCCACUGGGAAGAGAUGUCAGCUUUGUGUGAUUCUAGAGCUCCUGCCUGCACAUCUCAAGCUAAUCUCCUUCUUCUUGAAGCCUACUGGAUGAUACACACAGGCCUCGGUGUUGGAAAAGCUCCUUCCUCCCCAUUGCUUUUUUUCACAUCUCAAUAAACCCUUCUCCUUGAAUAUUUUUCAAACGCA